UACAGAGGGUGCAAGCGUUGCUCGGAAUCAUUGGGCGUAAGGGUAGGUAGGUGGUCUCAUUUGUCUGGGGUGAAAGCCCAGGGCUUAACCCUGGAAGUGCCCCGGAAACGGUGAGACUGGAGUCUUGGAGAGGGUCGAGGAAUUCCCGGUGUAGCGGUGAAAUGCGUAGAUAUCAAGAGGAACACCUGCGGCGAAGGCGGGUUGCUGGGCCGACACUGACGCUGAUGCGCGAAAGCUAGGGGAGCGAACGGG
rnacentral:rRNA from 1 species